rnacentral:rRNA from 1 species
ACUCAAAUGAAUUGACGGGGGCCCGCACAAGCAGCGGAGCGUGUGGUUUAAUUCGAUGCAACGCGAAGAACCUUACCUAGACUUGACAUGGGCCUGUAAACCCUGGAAACAGGGUCCCUCUUCGGAGCAGGUUCACAGAUGUUGCAUGGCUGUCGUCAGCUCGUGUCGUGAGAUGUUGGGUUAAGUCCCGCAACGAGCGCAACCCUCGUGGCUAGUUGCAUUCUCUAGCCAGACUGCCUACUAAAUAGGAGGAAGGUGGGGAUGACGUCAAGUCCGCAUGGCUCUUACGUCUAGGGCUACACACACGCUACAAUGGCCGGUACAAUGCGCAGCAAGCACGCGAGUGCAAGCAAAUCGCCAAAGCCGGUCUCAGUUCGGAUUGCAGGCUGCAACUCGCCUGCAUGAAGUCGGAGUUGCUAGUAACCGCGCGACAGCACAGUGCGGUGAAUAUGUUCCCGGGCCUUGCACACACCGCCCGU